AGGGUUCGAUUAUGGCUCAGAUUGAACGCUGGCGGCGUGCUUAACACAUGCAAGUCGAACGCGAAAGUUCCUUCGGGGACGAGUAGAGUGGCGCACGGGUGAGUAACGCGUGGAUGAUCUGCCUCUAUGAUGGGGAUAACAGUUGGAAACGACUGCUAAUACCGAAUACGCUCACGAUGAACUUUGUGAGGAAAGGCGACCUCUGCCUGCAAGUUGUCGCAUAGAGAUGAGUCCGCGUCCCAUUAGCUGGUUGGCGGGGUAACGGCCCACCAAGGCAACGAUGGGUAGCCGAUCUGAGAGGAUGAUCGGCCACACUGGAACUGAAACACGGUCCAG
rnacentral:rRNA from 1 species